AUGUUUUAACCUUUUUUUUUUUUUGGUUAAAACUUUAUGACUCCAUAACUUUUAGGCCGUGAGGCCAAACUUGGCAUGUGAUACCUUUUCGGGAAGCCCAAAGACAGCCCUCCGACGAAAGAAGCAGGGACAAUGGAAUUCUUCCAUUGACUUUUUGUCGGACCCCAAAAUUUUGACCUUUAAGUACUUUUUCGGGCAUUUUCGUGAUUUGGGCUAUAUUACGGACCCAAAAUUACUUGUUCAAGCAUUGUUUUCGAAUUUUUUCAUGCAUCAAAGCUCGUUAAGACUAGAUGGGGUAUCCCUACAUAGCGGGUGGGACCNACGGCGAAUGGUUCAUCAAGUCUUCAAAAAAGGAUAUAUACGAUUGCAUUGCAUAUACUAACGGAUGAGAUCAUACCAGCACUAAUGCACCGGAUCCCAUCAGNACUCCGCAGUUAAGCG
rnacentral:rRNA from 1 species